UCCUGGCUCAGGAUAAACGCUGGCGGCGUGCUUCAUGCAUGCAAGUCGAACGCUUCAACGUAAGUUGAGGAGUGGCAAACGGGUGAGUAACACGUAAGUAACCUGCCCCUAAGUAGAGGAUAACAUUUCGAAAGAAGUGCUAAUACUGCAUGUGGUGGGAGAGGUAAUGCUCUUUCACUAAAGUCGUAAGACGCUUGGGGAGGGGCUUGCGCCUGAUUAGCUAGUUGGUAGGGUAACGGUCUACCAAGGCGAAGAUCAGUAGCUGGUCUGAGAGGACGGUCAGCCACACUGGGACUGAGACACGGCCCAGACUCCUACGGGAGGCAGCAGCAAGGAAUUUUGUGCAAUGGGCGAAAGCCUGACACAGCGACGCCGCGUGCGGGAUGAAGGCUCUC
rnacentral:rRNA from 1 species